rnacentral:rRNA from 1 species
CCGCCUGAUGAGAAGUGCAAGUCGAGCGAAUGGAUUAAGAGCUUGCUCUUAUGAAGUUAGCGGCGGACGGGUGAGUAACACGUGGGUAACCUGCCCAUAAAAAUGGGAAAACUCCCGGAAAACCGGGCAAAAAACGGGAUACCAUUUUGAACCGCAGGGAUUGAAAUUGAAAGGCCCCAUCGGCUGUCAUUUAUGGAUGGACCCGCCCCCCAUUAGCUAGUUGGUGAGUUGACGCCUCCCAAGGGCAACGAUGCGUAGCCAAGCUGAGAGGGGGAUCGGCCAUUUGGGACUGACACACGGCCCACACUCCUACGGGAGGCAGCAGUAGGGAAUCUUCCGCAAUGGACGAAAGUCUGACGGAGCAACGCCGCGUGAGUGAUGAAGGCUUUCGGGUCGUACAACUCUGUUGUUAGGGAAAAACAAGUGCUACUUGAAUAAGCUGGCUCCUUGACGGAAACCCCCCAUCUAAGGGGUUGGCAAAAGAAUUCCCAGCCGCGGCGAGAUUACUUCGGGUGGCAUCCGUUAACCGGAAUUAUUGCGCGUAUUGCGCGCGCCCCCGUUUUCUCAUUUGAGAUGCGACCUCCCACGCCUCCUCCGCGGAGGGACUGUGUAAUCUGUUACACUUGACUGCAAAGGAGGAAAGCCCACUUCCAUGUAUCGCUCUGAGUUGCGGCGAGAUAUGCCCGAGCAACCGAGCCGGGUUUGACCCUCACGCUUUGCGCGUCUCACGGUCGGUUCAAAGC